GUGAGUGAGAGUCGCGUUGGGGGGACCUGGAUAAUCCGCCGCCAUCCGACCUCCCCUACCCCGAUAUUCCUGACUGUUCCCCUCUUGCCGCGUCCGGCUGGCUCCGUCUCUCACCGCCCGCUCUUUAUUUUCCCUCUCGAUGAUGAACACUUCCAUUCACAGACCUGUGAUGACUCUCGCUGUGAUUAGAGCUUGAUGUAGUGUUCUGAGAAUGAGGGCUGCCGCUUGCAAACCUGGAUCCUGUCCCACCACGAGCAAGGGUCAGCCAAAUCCCCGCAUCUGUAGGAUUUUUCUCUUUCUCCACCCCGUUAUUGUCACGUUUUCCUUACCUUCCCCUUGUAGUAUGUUUCCCUAAAUAUCUCUUGCUCCUAUUCCCUUUACAGUUUGUUUUCCUAAAUAUCCCUGUCCCCCUCCUUUUACCUCUUGCAACAUGCCUCCCUGAAUCUCCCUUUUCCUGCAGUGACUUCCCUGAGCAUCCAUUCUCCACUUUUUUUACAACUUUUGUGCUGUCUCUUUAAGUUCUGAUCUGGGAGCUUUAAGCACAUUCUGGAACAUGGUCUGCAUUUUAUUGUCGACAAAGUGGUUGACUUGGUGGGGAGCACGGUGAGGGAGUAUGAGCCCCAACUCUUGCCCGCAAUAGUAUUGUUCCAGAAAUAAAAAAAAACUGGGGUUUUAUACCCAGUUAGUGACUGCUCAGAUUAGUAAUGACCCCAACUGGGGUGAGGCUAUAGUGGUAUUGUCAGUGUUAUGUAUUUGAUUUUGGGGGACACUUUGGCAGGCCAUGUUGAUGUAGUGCCCUUACGUUUGUUCACUCUUGUGAAUAGCCAAAAGGUGGCCUGCCUGUUUUCCCAGAAUUGUUGGGAGGUGGGCUGGUGCUCAGGUUGGUUAAUUACUUCUCCUCCUCCUUUUCAGACCAGCUUGAACAGGACCAGGGGUGAUCCUAAAAGGAAUGACCGAGAGGUUCCUCCUUGAUUGUAGUCAUGGCAACCCUCAAGAUUCUGCACUGCAUUGUGACCUUGCAACAUGUACUGAGGAUGUCUGUCCUUCAGGAUGGCUGAACAUAACCUGGAUUGAUGUCAGAUGGAAUGAAUGAAUAUGAUGGGUCUGACUCUGAAGUGUGGGAGCGAUGUCUGGUGACUGAAGAUUAGUGUCCACACUAUCAAAGCAGCCUGAACUAAGAUGGUGGGCCUUGUGCUGACCUGAUGUGGCUGACUUCAGGGACCCUCUAUUUGGAACCAGGUGGGCUUCUGUGUCCUGAGAGCUGAACUCUGCCUCUGAUUUGCAUUUGGGUCCCAGUGUAUUGGCGUGAAGCGCACCACUCGCACUAGUGAGCUUUAGCAUGGACCUAAGCAUGAUCCAGUGCCUCCCACAACCAGGACACCCUGCUGUGCAGUGUAAUGACAGCAAGUGGGGUGGCUGCACAAGGGAAUGUUGAGUUAGAUAAAGGUGCAGAUACAAGGGAUUCAAAAUCAUCAUGGCAUAAAUGUUGGUUACCACCUUUUGCACGGAAUCUUAUACUGCUUCAUGGUGCUUCCUGGACCAGAAAGUUUGUGAAGAUGUUUUAUGGUCUGAUUUGAAAUAAACUUGUUUUCUGACCCUUC